rnacentral:rRNA from 1 species
AUGGUGAAGACCCCCAAUAGCACCCCCAAGGCCAAGGCCAAGGCGGCCUCCUCCGGCGCCGGCGCCGCCAGGCCGUCCCCGGCGAGCGCUUCCGGCUCUGGUUCGGCGAAGGCGUCGAAGUUUAAGAAACGGAAAGCCAUUGGCGCCGGCGCAAAGGUCGCGGCCACUGCUGUGGCAGCGGCCGAUGGGUCCACCUCCGCGGGCCCUGCGCCUGUGCAGAAACCGUCCACUCCUUCUGGAGCAUCGCCUGCGGCAUCUUUGAAGCCAGCCGCCGUAGCUGAAGGAUCAUCUGCUGCCCAGGUACCGGCACCAAAGCCAGACACCGCUGAAGAAGCAUCAGCGUCGACUCCAAAGCCAAAGCCAAAGCCAAAGCCGGCUGAUGCUGCAGCUGCUACCAGCAAUGGGGUGGGUGCUAGCGGUAGUAGUGGUGGUGGCAAGAAGAAGAAGAAGGGGCAUAAGGAGAGGCUUAUGGCUUGGAAGGGAAAGGGGAAGCAGGAGGAGGCGCAGGGGAAUAAGAAGGAGAUGAGGAAGGAGGAGGGGGAGCAGGGGAAUAAGAAGGGGAUGGGGAAGGAGGAGGGGGCGCAGGGGAAUAAGAAGGGGAUGUGGAAGGAGGAGGGGUCCAAGAAAGAAGGGGGUGGUGAUGGCAGGGCAGGAGGGCUUAUCUUCAUGUGCAAUGCACAGACUAAGCCGGAGUGCUUCCAGAACCGCGUGUUUGGUAUGCCCAUGGGGAAGAAGGAGAUGGUGGAGAAGGUCCGACCAGGGACAAAGGUAUUCCUGUAUGAUUUUGACUUGAGGCUGCUAUAUGGAGUGUACAAGGCGACAUCAAAGGGCGGGAUAAACCUUGUCAGAAAUGCUUUUAACGGGAAGUUUCCUGCUCAGGUGAAAUUUACGACUGAUAAAGAUUGCCUUCCUCUUCCUGAGAGUACUUUCAAGCAUGCCAUCAAAGAGAACUACAGUGCAAGCCGCAAAUUUGACCCUGAGAUCACUUCUACACAAGUUCGUAGGCUGAUGGCUCUAUUCAAGCCUAUCACUGUAUAUCAAUCAGCUCCAAGGAGUAAUCUAGAUGGAAGGUACCGCGAUGAAGAAAGAAGGCAUCAACAUGAAGAUAGGCCACAUCCAUUGCAUGUUGAAGACAGGCGCCCGCAGGUGGUUGUACAUGUUCCUCCUCCUGAGGACUCAUACAGGGCAACACACUUUGCUCCAUUUCCUACCGAGCCCCGACCUGGUCAAUUUUUGGUUAAUGUCCAGGAUGAGCACAGAUAUUAUCAACAAGCACCUCCUGCACCUGAGUCUCAACACAUUCCUCUUGCCCCAGAGGCUCGCCAUGUUCCUCUUGCCACAGGGCCUCACUAUGCGCCUUCUGUACCAGAGCCUCGGCAUGUCCCACCAGCAUAUUACCACCAUUUGGCUCCUUCAUCUGAUGAUUCUUACUACCGUUCUCGAGUGGAUCCAGUGCAUGAGCGCAUUGCUGCCAGAACACCUCCAAGGGAUUACGCAGCACAGCUUGGGGAGUUGUCUGCUCGUGCUGACCAUAUGUCGGAGCUCUACCGGACCACUGUUCGUGAUGCUCGCCUGGAGGAUCCUUACCGCCCAGGAGAGCUUGCUGCCCGUGGUGCUCGUGUGGAGGAACUCUACCGCCCAGGAGAGAUUGCUUCUUGUGGUGAUCGUGUGGCGGAUCUCUACCAGGAUCUCUACCGCUCUGCAGAGGUUCCUUCUCGUGGUGCUCGUAUGGAGGAUCUCUACCGUCCAGGAGAGGUUGCUGCUCGCGAUGUUCGUAUGGAGGAUCCCUACCGUCAAGGAGGGAUAGAUGCUCGUGGUUCUUAUGGGGGGCUCUACCGUUCGGACCAGCUAAAUGCUCGUGCCGUGGAUCUCCCACAUUCUUAUCAGACCUCCAACCCUGCUUAUGCUGAAGCCAGUCAGAGACCUGUCCCUACAGCAAGGGCCAACGGACCAGGUGUGCCGGUUUCCUCACUCUAUUCCUUCGCCGGAGCGCCAGCAUAUCGAUGA